AGUUUAGAUGGUUUGUGUGAGAUUUCAGUAACUGUAUUUAAACCUUCUCAUGUUUUUGUAUUUUUGCAGUAUGAACCCACAAAUGCCCUAAAAUGUAUCGUUUUGGUGAUCGACCCUGGAAUCUUACAGUAGAAAGGAUGGCCAGGAACACACUGUUUAUGGUUGAAAUAAAAUAAUAUAUUAAAAAAAACACAAGUAAAUACAAAAACAAAACAAAAAAAACCCAUCAACUUCAUUACAGGACCUUAUUUAGGCCUGUAACUGACCACAUGACCACAAAGCUACAGGGCAGAGAGUGUGAUGAUGUCACUACAUACUCCAUACAAGUCCCACCCGAUGAUAGAUAGAUAGAUAGAUAGAUAGAUAGAUAGAUAGAUAGAUAGAUAGAUAGAUAGAUAGAUAGAUAGAUAGAUAAACUGGUUAUAACAAACUUUUGUACAGUUUAAGUGUAAUUUUAAUUAAA